GUGAGCGGCAGCAGCGAUGGGCCCUACGGACGGGCCGUGGUCGUGGGGGGCGUGCGUCGCGUGCGUCUGUCGUGCUGCGGCAACUGCGCUGGCAGGAGCCGCUCUCGGUUCCGUGAGGCCCGGGGGCGCACGAGCCCGAGGCCGUGCCCGGCGCGCGCCGCUCCUGAGGGCGGGCUGCUGGCCGGCUGGCUCCGUGCUGGUGCGGCGGCCCCGUGCAGGCCUCCCUCCGGCUGGGGGCGGCAGUAGCAGCGCGGGGCACAGCGCAGGGCUCGGGUGGUGGCAGAGGGCUUUGGCUACCUGAUGCUGCCUUGCGGCUCCACGUCGGUCUCAGCGCUUCAUGUUGUUUCUAGGGGUUUUUUUAGAGGCAUGAGCUUACGUCGCAAGCAAUUUAAUUCGAGGAGUGCAGUGCUGGCGGCAACAAAAGCAAUUAAGAGAUGAGUUGGUUUCUGGCUUCUGGAAUCUUCAGGCUGAGCUCUGUGCUGUUACCUUGCAAGCAGGAAGAUGUCACAUGAAUUCUGACAGAUAUGUUAUCAGAUGACUUUCUCCACUGACUUCAAGCUGUGCACAGCCAACAGCAGACUGUUGAUUUCCAUAAGUAUGGGUGUUUAAGAAGGUUAAGAACAGUGUGAAACGUGGAUUUCUAAUGCACCUGGAAAUGCUUUCCUGGCCCUUCCUGCUUCCCAGAAGCACUGCUUGAUUCUAAUAUGCUCGGGGUGAAGUGCUGUGACUUCUAAUGCCAUGCUGAAAGGAAGAAGUCAAGUAAGAUGGAGUUAGAGUUUAGAUGAAAAUGUGAAUAAUGCCUGAAUGAAGUUCAAGUGAGAGUGUGGCUGAGAAGUAGCCCUUCAGAUGCUGUUAGAACUCAGUAUGAAUAUUUAAGUUCAUAGUUAAUAUUCAUAUAGUUAAUAUUGCAAACAAAAUUUGAUUACAGGAUUAAAACACAUAGGAAAACUUGUUUUCUUGUCUAAAUUAGUGUUUAUAAUAAUGCUGGAAGCUGUUCUGCUCGCUUUCAAUGCAG
ensembl:lncRNA